rnacentral:rRNA from 1 species
UAGUGGCGAACGGGUGAGUAACACGUGAGUAACCUGCCCUUGACUCUGGGAUAAGCCUGGGAAACUGGGUCUAAUACCGGAUAUGACUCCUCAUCGCAUGGUGGGGGGUGGAAAGCUUUUUUGUGGUUUUGGAUGGACUCGCGGCCUAUCAGCUUGUUGGUGGGGUAAUGGCUUACCAAGGCGAUGACGGGUAGCCGGCCUGAGAGGGUGACCGGCCACACUGGGACUGAGACACGGCCCAGACUCCUACGGGAGGCAGCAGUGGGGAAUAUUGCACAAUGGGCGCAAGCCUGAUGCAGCGACGCCGCGUGAGGGAUGACGGCCUUCGGGUUGUAAACCUCUUUCAGUAGGGAAGAAGCCGUGAGGUGACGGUACCUGCAGAAGAAGCGCCGGCUAACUACGUGCCAGCAGCCGCGGUAAUACGUAGGGCGCAAGCGUUAUCCGGAAUUAUUGGGCGUAAAGAGCUCGUAGGCGGUUUGUCGCGUCUGCUGUGAAAGACCGGGGCUCAACUCCGGUUCUGCAGUGGGUACGGGCAGACUAGAGUGCAGUAGGGGAGACUGGAAUUCCUGGUGUAGCGGUGAAAUGCGCAGAUAUCAGGAGGAACACCGAUGGCGAAGGCAGGUCUCUGGGCUGUAACUGACGCUGAGGAGCGAAAGCAUGGGGAGCGAACAGGAUUAGAUACCCUGGUAGUCCAUGCCGUAAACGUUGGGCACUAGGUGUGGGGGACAUUCCACGUUUUCCGCGCCGUAGCUAACGCAUUAAGUGCCCCGCCUGGGGAGUACGGCCGCAAGGCUAAAACUCAAAGGAAUUGACGGGGCCCGCACAAGCGGCGGAGCAUGCGGAUUAAUUCGAUGCAACG